rnacentral:rRNA from 1 species
CGGUUGAUCCUGCCGGAGGUUACUGCUAUCGGUGUUCGACUAAGCCAUGCGAGUCAUAUGUUCUUCGUGAACAUGGCGGACUGCUCAGUAACACGUGGAUAACCUGCCCUUAGGUUCGGCAUAACUCCGGGAAACUGGAGAUAAUUCCGAAUAGGUCAAAUAUGCUGGAAUGCUUUUUGAUCAAAAGACUUCGGUUGCCUAAGGAUGGAUCUGCGGUCUAUCAGGUUGUAGUGGGUGUAACGUACCUACUAGCCUACGACGGAUAUGGGUUGUGAGAGCAAGAGCCCAGAGAUGGAUUCUGAGACAUGAAUCCAGGCCCUACGGGGCGCAGCAGGCGCGAAAACUUUACAAUGCGGGAAACCGCGAUAAGGGGACACCGAGUGCCAGCAUUUAUGUUGGCUGUCCACAUGUGUAAACGGCAUGUGUUAGCAAGGGCCGGGCAAGACCGGUGCCAGCCGCCGCGGUAACACCGGCGGCCCGAGUGGUAAUCACUUUUAUUGGGUCUAAAGGGUCCGUAGCCGGUUUGAUCAGUUCUUCGGGAAAUCUGACAGCUCAACUGUUAGGCUUCCGGGGAAUACUGUUAGACUUGGGACCGGGAGAGGUAAGAGGUACUACAGGGGUAGGAGUGAANUCUUGUAAUCCCUGUGGGACCACCAGUGGGCNNNGNGUCUUACCAGAACGGGGUCCGANGGUGAGGGACNNAAAGCUGGGNGCACGAACCGGANUAGAUACCCGGGUANUNCNCANNCCNUAAACNAUNU